AAUUGGGGGGGAGGAGUGCUACCAGCUUCUAGUGGGCAGAGUCCCGGCUGCUGCUGACCAUCCUAUUGUGCACAGGACAGCCCCACAGCCAAGAAUCCUGAGACCCCAAAUGUAACCAUGCUGAGGUUGAGAGGCAUACUUUAGGAAAAGUAGAAAGGAAAGUAGAAGGUGGAAAAAGAAUCAAGAGGAAUGGUGGCCUGGUGGGAAGCGGGGAGAAGACAAGCUUCCCAGCGGGUGAGCUGCCUAAUCACUUCGUCCUCAGCUGCAGUGUGAGUCCCGCAGAUAGCACACCUCUCCGUCCACUGGAUUUCACAUCCAGGAGCAAUGAGUUGUGCCAUAUCUUUCCAUGCCUCCACCUCAAUCU
rnacentral:lncRNA from 1 species